UACGUAGGGGGCUAGCGUUGUCCGGAUUUAUUGGGCGUAAAGAGCGUGUAGGCGGCCAUACAGGUCCGUUGUGAAAAACUGGAGGCUUAACCUCCAGACGUCGAUGGAAACCGUAUGGCUAGAGUCCGGAAGAGGAGAGUGGGAAUUCCUGGAUGUAGCGGUGAAAUGCGCAGAUAUCAGGAAGAACACCCGUGGCGAAGGCGGCUCUCUGGGACGGUACUGACGCUGAGACGCGAAAGCGUGGGGAGCGAACAGG
rnacentral:rRNA from 1 species